CUUGGUCUUCUUGGAAACAAUCCAUUGAACAACUGAUCAAGAGUCCCUAGCCUACUUUUCUUUUUUCAUCACUAAUUUAUUUCACUUGGAUGUACGUCACAAUACAGAUGAACAGAUCUGUUGCUACUUCCAUUUCAUCACAACUUUAUUGUAGCAAUUUCCUCUGUUGCUGAAUGACUUUUCAUUCUGCUGAUGUCAUCUAGUCAGUGCAAUGUUAACCGAUAUCCAAAUAUGCAUUUAUUUAGGUUCUGUUUCAUUAUUUAGCUUAAUAUAUUUAGUUUUUCUAAGAAAUAUGUCAGCUAUGUGUAAAAAAAAAAAGAAAAAAAAAGGUGUUUUAUGUUUAUGCUUUAAGGUGUUUUGUGUUUUGGUCUAUAGGUUUGUGCCAUGCUAAGUUAUGGAAGUGCCAAUUUGUGAAGACCCUGCUGAAAACCAGGUAUGGAUGAAGAUCCCCCGUGGCAGACAUGCAACAUUUAGCAUCUUUACACAUCCACGAGUUCCCUGAGCGAUGACGCAUGCUGGGCCUUGUGUGAAAGGUAAACUCAAGUUCUGGUGGUUUGCUCAUAAAGGGUUGAUGAUUUAACGAGAGGUGCAUUGAUCUAGCUUCAUUUCGUUUUGAAUUUUUAAUCAAUAGUCAUGGCCAGAGGGAGAUAAUAAAGAUGAGGCUUAUUAAUGAGACUGGUAAUGGGCAGGAUCUCCACAGUGGAUCAUUCCUGUUUGAGAACCCAGCUGCUCUGAUGGAUGAGCACGCUAAGCUUUGAUACCCAGGAAUGGUAGGAAGGGAUUACUGCUGGAAACAGGACCUUGGCUGCUCCGAGUGCUACUUGACCUUGAAUAAUGUCAUACUUUAUGAUCUGUGCCGAAGUGAAACUCUGGUUCACCAACUGAGAUGCCUCUCAAAAUCAGUGUCUGAAAAAAUGAGGAGAUUGAGAAAAAUUAGCUGUAAUUUCUGAAGCUGAAACUUUAAAAAUGUCAUAAAUGGGUGCUUAUUGAAUGUGACAUUGAUUAGCCAAAGGAGCAAUUGAGAAAGAUGAUGGACUGUUUCAUUAAUUAUACAAUUUUAUUACAUUUUAUUACACUGAUGUAAUGGUGGAAUGUAUUUGAUUUAAUGGAUAACAUUUUCUUUUUCUUUUUGAUAGUGGAUUAUAAAUCUUCUAACACUAAAUUUACCCUUUUAAUUAUUUGUUUUUAGUUAGAUGCAGAUGGUGGGGUGUGGAGCAUUUCAUUUCUCAUAACAACCAGAGGCACUGUUUCACUCAUGCAAUUUAAUUUUAAGUCAGGCCAUGUACUAUAAUUAAGGCAUAGCUCACCCAGAACUUAAAAUUUUGUCAUCAUUUACUCACCCACAAAUUGUACUAAACUCAUAUGAUUUUAUGUCUUUUCUGUAGACCACAUAGGAGAUUUUUGGAAGGGUGUUCCUGCUUUUCCAGAAACUGUUAAACUUUAAAAAUGACCAAAAACAGCAAUUAAAGUACAGUACCCUAACUAUGGUCCAUAUGAUUUGUGCACCAUAUCACAAGUUUUGAAGUCAGCUUUAUGUGAGGAACAGACUGAAAUUUAAGUUAUUUACUGAACAUCUUCCCAGUUGGUUACGAAAGGCGCAUUUGAAUAUACACAAACUUGAAUGAGAUUUGAUAGCGGAGGUAGAGAAUGUUAUCAGUGAAUGAAUUACUGCUUAAUGGGUUAGUUCAUCCAAAAAUGAAAAUUCUCUUGCGAUUUAUUCACCCACAUCUUUCCAGAAGAAUUUCAUUGUUCAUAUGAAGUGAUUGUGUCUCUUUGGAAGACUAGGAUUAAACUGCUCGAUCGAUAUUGAUUAGUUUCAAAAUAUUUUUAUGAGCUUUUUGAAGGUUUUGGUGGAAUGGACUUUCAGUGUAAGGAGUGAAAUCUCUCAGAUUUCAUCAAAAAUAUCUUAAUUUGUGUUUUGAAGAUGAAUGAAAGUCUAAUCAGUUUGGAUCGACAAGUGGUUGAGUAAAGGAUAUAAUUUCUUUUUAAUCACUUUAACUUUCUGUUUGUGCUCCACAGCGGAAAAGCAACAGAUGCUAAGUAAUUAACAACAAAUUAUUUUAGGUGAACUGUCCCUUUAAGGACGGAAGCUGUUUUGAAUAAGCUGUCAAUUCUAAAACUGUUGUGUCGGAUGAUCUGAUGUUUCUGAUGAAUCCAAAACUAACGGUCAGACUUGUAACAUCACAGGACUGCUGAAACUGCUCUCAGUCAAAGCUUUUUGCUAUCGCAAGAGUGACCUUCCAUCUGCCGAGUCGUGUCUGAGGGGGACUUCUCUGUCCUUCCUGGGUAACAAAUGACUCUGACACACCAGAGACUCUGUGCUUGCACCUGCUUAACUUUUCUCACCCGUCUGUCUCCCAUCCCGCCAGACUGACAAAGCUCAGGGCCCUGUGGGCUCCAGACGAUACUUUUCGGACCGAGCGGCACACUAGCAGGUGAGAGCAGCUUACUCUGGCUUUGGCAGCAUCUGUCAGCUCUAGAGUUGGUACAGACCUUGGGGGAUGAUAGACUUGCUUAUAAAUAACCCUGAAAUGAAUUAAAAGAGAUAAAGAGGCGCCUGUUGCCGAGGAGACGGAGAGCUGUCCGCUUUGGCCGGAGAGCCUGACUGGGGUGUCGGGACAGGCCGAUAUGGUCGGGAGGGAGCGGGAGGUAUAAUUGAAACAUUGUGCUGUGGCAGAGUGGCCUUUGGUGUGAUUGAUACUGUUUUAGAGUACUCCUGUUCACCUGGGCUCCAGGGGAUUUACCUGAGGGAGAGAAGGGAAGGGUGGCUAUACUGGGUUUGUCAGAAAAUUGGUGCCAUCCAUCAAGUACCAGAUUUAACGAAUGCUGAAACCGGGCCGCCUGGCAAAGGAUUCUUAUUUAAGGCAGUGAACCAGGAAACGUGCGAGGGGCAUGGACUGGUGCGGGUCUAUCAAUCAGCCAGUCAGCUCCUUUAUUCAACAAGCGAGCGACAGCCCCUGAGGCCAGCGCAUGGGGUUCCGGCUAGUUGGCCUUGCAACACUCUCCCUGAAGGGAAGUGGUGGGAAGUCAAUGCGAAAAAGAGCUAGAGAGAGUUUUGGGGAAAGGGGACAAGAAGAAGGCAUCAGGGCUUGGCUGUGUCCCCUGAUGAGCUAGCAUGCUUCAUCUUUCUUGCGCGUGGACCUGGAACUGUGGCUUGAUGGGAUUUUCAGCACUGUGGUCUCCAUGCCUUGCCUAAGGCCAGGCUUCCGAGCUCUGCGGCAAAGCGCUGAUGCCUUCACUGGCUCUCUGACUCCCUUAACACUGCACCACCUUUGCCUGAACUUGCAGAAGAAAUUCUAGAGUGCAGGAUUUAAUAGCUCCGUAAGAGUGAAAGAUGAAAUGCAACUUUACAUUUUCUGUGGUCGUGGAAUGCCAACGCAUUGCUGAAACCCAGGGUCUCAAACUCAAAUGACCAUUAUGGGGUCUGUGGCCAUCCUCCAGCAGGGUCCAGUUGAACAGAUUCAACUGUUUUUACAACCAUGAAUUUGAACUAUAUAAAGUUUUUGGUGCAGUUAUUAAUGCAUGGACAGAUGUUUUCAAGGUUCUUCCCAGAUCGGACAGGUAGCCGUGACAGGAAGUGACCAGUCAUCAGAAGCUGGCUUUGAGGUUCUGGUAAGAAGAUUGUGUUCAUGUUUUAUUCUGCAAUAAGCCACUUGGAAAGUCAUAUAUAUAUUAAGCAAAAUAUAUAUAGACCAAGUUGGCAUUUAAUAUCAUUAAAGCCCAAACCACAAUGCAGUGAAAUAAAAACUUAUUUACUGGAUGGAUUUAAGGAUAAACUGUUCAAACUAAUUUGGUUGGUAGUUAAGCAUGUUUAUUCAAUGUUCUGCAGUAUUUAAAGUAGGGAUGCACAAUAUAUAUUGGUACAGUUAUUAAACAAAACAUGAUUAUUUUAAUUUAGCUGAAUAAAUUGAUGUUGAUUUUUAAAUUGUGCUCCUUUCAUCUAUUUUUUACACUUAAAUUACUUUUGCCAUCAUGUUACGCUCACUUCUCACACUCAAAGUUAAUCUUUAAAAACGAAUAAUUUAAUAACACUGUUAAUGUAAUCUUUAGCAAAUUUCAAAAUUAAUAUCCUUUUUUUCUACUGUUUUUUAUAGUGUGACAACUACAUUCAGUAUUAGUAUUUGAAAAGAUCGAUUUUUAGUUUUUAAUGUUUUGUUUUAAUUUUUUUUUUAGACAAAACAGUAUACUAUUUUAAUUAGCCAUUUAUUAGUUUUUGGCCAUAAUGAGAUUUUUCUACUUAUCAUAUCCAACAGAAUUUGAAUGUCAUUUGAAGUCAAAAUGAAAUAAAAAAACUUAUUAGUACUAUUAUAUCAGUACUAUUAUUAUUUUAUACUAAAUAAAAGAAUAGUAAAUAAUUAGUAUUUACUUUACUACUCCAGGUUUAUUGUGGUCAAUUCAUCACUGGAUGUAAUCCCAGAAAAAAGGUUUGUCUUCAUAAUCUUUCAUCAACCCCUCUCCAGCCACAUUGCUCCAUUCUGGUAUGUAAGUUCCUAAUUUUAACUUUAAGACAACAGUUUGAGAAGUAACACCAGUGCAGCUACAAAACCACUGUGUGUUUGGCAGUAAACAUUCAGUUGAAGCACUGUUUUGAUUAAUGUCUAGUUUAGGUUGGUGUUGAUGGAAUUUGUAAGUUCUACAGGAUGCAUUGCAGACCAAUGCUAAAAGGACACCUGCACGUCUUGUGGCACGGGGCAGAAAAUGGACCUGUUUUAUUUUCUUACCUCCCUUUGUCCCUGGUUUCCUCUUCUUCCUUCAUUCCCCAAGAAGGUUACAUUUUUUCUUCUAUUUAUCUAUUGUAUAGAUUUUUCCACCAUCUUCUGUUCAGACAAAAUGCCGCCCACUAAGAAACCGUGGCGUAAACAUAAUUUCAUAGCUUAGCCUGAAGGCGGGAAGGAGGCGAGCGAGGAGAGACAGAGAGGGCGGUGCACUCGCAGACACACAAAAUCAAUGCUGAUCAAUGUUUUAUAUCACCAAGAUGCUUGUCCUCUCGACCUGCCCCAGCUGGAAAAAAACCCCCACCUCCCAAUCACCUCUUCUACAAGUCCCUCUGGUGUUUUACCCAGAGUUCAAUAUCCAACUCCACCCUCCAUCAAGAGUGAGAAAAGAGGACAACAAUAAGGAGAAAUUGAGGACACUCAACAGGCAUGUAAAAGGUUAAAGCCAAUGGGUGGAACUCGCAUGCUGAUGGAAUGACGGUUGUCAGGCGGAUUAAAACUAAAGAUGAACCAUGUGGGAGUUUCCUCCAAAGAGCCUGUGGAUAAAUCUCAUUAGCAUACCUGCUCUGAGGACGGCUGUAAAUUUAACGAAUGACGUUCUGGAGAGGAUGAGGUUGGUUGAAAGCAGAGUGUGAAUAAACAGGCAGACGCAAUUCCAUAGUGCCACUAAGACCACACCUGCCCACAAUUAAUCAUUAAAAUAGUACUCUGCCAGUUUUCAUGCCAUGUCCAAGGCUUCAGGGUAGGGCUGGUUUAGCAUGGCCCUGUAAGCUCCUGCUGGUAGAUGCCA